UUAUCACUGUUUUGAUCCGAACAAGUUUGAAACAAUCCGCAAGGAUAAUUUUGUUGUCCAUUAUGAGAUGUUGGAAAAGAGACCGUCACUACCUCAACAUUAGCAAUGCCCCCUUUGUUUAGCAAACAAGAUCCUACUUACAAUGUAAAGUUUGAGUUUAUUCGUUAGAAACCUAGUUAGUUUGCUGCAUCAAUGUUCCUUGUACCCGGCAAUUGUAAGCAAUUGUCUUCUCAAUCUCGUUCCACUGAUCUUUAGUGGCAUCAUUUUCGUUUACAUAAAUAUGCUCUGUUCUUUGUCACUUUAAUUAGCGACCUUGCCCCUUUGACUGUAUGAUUACGCAGUUAACCAUUUGUCUGGGAGGUUUCCAAGGUGGUACCCUUUCACAAUUCACAUACCCAGAAGCUUCGCUCAUUGUUGGAGGCAAAGAAAGGUUUGAAACUUUUCUGGAUUAUACUACAUGACUUGUAUGGUGGGCUUGGGUUGUGCCACCUUGUCAGAAACCCUACAUGAAGAACAUAGAGGAAGUGAAGUGAAGAGAUGAACUGAAGAAGGGAUGUCUGCGAAGGAAAUCUAUUAGUGGGAAGUGAACAAAAACGGUGCCGUUUGAGUAAGCUUUGAAACUGCGUGGAAUAAGUGAAACGAAUUGUUUAAAGUAAUGUUUGGGCUCUUUCGUUUGGGUUGUUACAAGACACAACAUUUUGGGUGUAGUUGUAGAGUCUGUCAUUUAGGCCUUAUGUAAUACGCAACAUUUGGAGAUAUAACUAAACAAUGCGUUUAAUUGCUGUAAGUUUUCAUUAGCUGUUGUGUCUGUUGUUUUAUCAUUUCUAAAGUUAGUUACUAGAUCGG